GUGGCGGACGGGUGAGUAACACGUGAGCAACCUGCCUAUCAGAGGGGGAGUAACGUUCUGAAAAGAAACGCUAAUACCGCAUGAAGUACGAAAGGGACAUCCCAUUUGUACCAAAGGAGCAAUCCGCUGAUAGAUGGGCUCGCGUCCGAUUAGGUAGUUGGUAGGGUAACGGCCUACCAAGCCGACGAUCGGUAGCCGGACUGAGAGGUUGAACGGCCACAUUGGGACUGAGACACGGCCCAGACUCCUACGGGAGGCAGCAUG
rnacentral:rRNA from 1 species